rnacentral:rRNA from 1 species
UACGUAGGGUGCGAGCGUUAAUCGGAAUUACUGGGCGUAAAGCGUGCGCAGGCGGUGAUGUAAGACCGAUGUGAAAUCCCCGGGCUUAACCUGGGAACUGCAUUGGUGACUGCAUUGCUGGAGUAUGGCAGAGGGGGGGUGGAAUUCCACGUGUAGCAGUGAAAUGCGUAGAGAUGUGGAGGAACACCGAUGGCGAAGGCAGCCCCCUGGGCUAACACUGACGCUCAUGCACGAAAGCGUGGGGAGCAAACAGG